AUGAACGCUGGCGGCGUGCCUUAGGCAUGCAAGUCGAACGGUUGCCUUCGGGCAACAGUGGCAGACGGGUGAGUAACGGGUAGGAAUCUACCCCUUGGUAGGGAAUAACUCAUCGAAAGAUGGGCUAAUACCGUAUAAGUUCGUAAGAAGAAAGGGCGUAACUGCCCGCCGAGGGAUGUGCCUGCCUGCUAUCAGCUAGUUGGUGAGGUAAUGGCUCACCAAGGCUAUGACGGCUAGGGGGCGUGAGAGCGUGAUCCCCCACAAUGAAACUGCGACACGGUUCAUACAUCUACGGAUGGCAGCAACCAGGAAUAUUGCGCAAUGGACGAAAGUCUGACGCAGCGACGCCGCGUGCGGGAUUAAGGCCUUCGGGUCGUAAACCGCUGUGGAGAGGAAUGAAUAAGAUGACAGUACCUUUCUAGAAAGCACCUGCUAACUACGUGCCAGAAGCCUCGGUAAUACGUAGGGUGCUAGCGUUAUCCGGAAUCACUGGGCGUAAAGGGUUUUGUAGGCGGUAAGUUAAGUGGUGGGUUAAAGACUAAGGCUCAACCUUAGAUAUGCCCAUCAAACUAGCUAACUAGAGAUAGUUUGGGGAUGCUGGAAUUCUCGGUGUAGUAGUGAAAUGCGUUGAUAUCGAGAAGAACACCAAAGGCGAAGGCAGGCAUCUAAGACUAUACUGACGCUGAUAAACGAAAGCUGGGGGAGCGAAAGGGAUUAGAGACCCCUGUAGUCCCAGCCGUAAACGAUGGACACUAGCUGUUUGCUCUUAAGAGUGAGUGGCGCAAGCUAACGCGUUAAGUGUCCCGCCUGGGGAGUACGACCGCAAGGUUAAAACUCAAAGGAAUUGACGGGGAUGCGCACAACCAGCGUGCCAUGUGGUUUAAUUCGAUACAAAACGAUGAACCUUACCUAGACUUGACAUCCUGAUCAUAUCUUUAGGAAACUAGAGAGUCGGUUCGGCCGGAUCAGUGACAGCUGUUGCAUGGUUGUCGUCAGUUCGUGUCGUGAGGCGUCCUGUUAAGUCAGGUAACGAACGCAACCCCUGUUGCAUGUUAAAUAUCCAUGCAAGACUGCCCCUCUUAUUGGGGGGGAGGAAGGAGGGGACGACGUCAAAUCAGCAUGACGCUUACGUCUAGGGCUACACACAUGGUGUAAUGGGUGGUACAACGGGUCGCGACAGGGUAACCUUGAGCUAAUCCUUAUAAAACCACCCUCAGUUCGGAUUGGGGGCUGCAAUUCGCCCCCAUGAAGGGGAGUUGGUAGUAAUCGCAGGUCAGCUAUACUGCGGUGAAUACGUUCUCGCAUCUUGUACACACUGCC
rnacentral:rRNA from 1 species